UACGUAGGGAGCAAGCGUUGUCCGGAAUCAUUGGGCGUAAAGCGCGCGUAGGCGGCCUCGUAAGUCCGUUGUGAAAGUCAAAGGCUCAACCUUUGAAAGCCGAUGGAUACUGUGAGGCUAGAGUCCGGAAGAGGCGAGUGGAAUUCCUGGUGUAGCGGUGGAAUGCGCAGAUAUCAGGAGGAACACCGGUGGCGAAGGCGGCGACCUGGGUAGAUACUGACGCUAGAGGUGACGAAAGGCAGUGGGGAG
rnacentral:rRNA from 1 species